rnacentral:rRNA from 1 species
GGCAACAGCUCAAAUUUGAAAUCUGGGCCUUUCAGGUUCCGAGUUGUAAUUUGUAGAAGAUGCUUCGGGUGUGGCACCAGCCUAAGUUCCUUGGAACAGGACGUCAUAGAGGGUGAGAAUCCCGUAUGCGGCCGGCCGCCUUCGCCCAUGUGAAGCUCUUUCGACGAGUCGAGUUGUUUGGGAAUGCAGCUCAAAAUGGGUGGUAUAUUUCAUCUAAAGCUAAAUAUUGGCCAGAGACCGAUAGCGCACAAGUAGAGUGAUCGAAAGAUGAAAAGCACUUUGGAAAGAGAGUUAAACAGUACGUGAAAUUGUUGAAAGGGAAGCGCUUGCAACCAGACUUGCACGCUGCUGAUCAUCUGGGGUUCUCCCCAGUGCACUCGGUUGCGUUCAGGCCAGCAUCGGUUUGGGUGGUUGGAUAAAGGCCUUGGGAAUGUAGCUUCCUUCGGGGAGUGUUAUAGCCCUCGGUGCAAUGCAGCCUACCCGGACCGAGGACCGCGCUUCGGCUAGGAUGCUGGCGUAAUGGUUGUAAGCGACCCGUCUUGAAACACGGACCAAGGAGUCUAACAUCUAUGCGAGUGUUUGGGUGUCAAACCCAUACGCGUAAUUAACGUGAACGGAGGUAAGAACCCUUAAGGGUGCAUUAUCGACCGAUCCUGAUGUCUUCGGAUGGAUUUGAGUAAGAGCAUAGCUGUUGGGACCCGAAAGAUGGUGAACUAUGCCUGAAUAGGGUGAAGCCAGAGGAAACUCUGGUGGAGGCUCGCAGCGGUUCUGACGUGCAAAUCGAUCGUCAAAUUUAGGUAUAGGGGCGAAAGACUAAUCGAACCAUCUAGUAGCUGGUCU